AUUCUGCUGUCCUCGACCGUCCCCGGCCUAGUUUGCUCCUCCCGUCGUGUGAUUUGAUGCCCCACCUAUUCGAUUUCUUCGAUUUCGUGGUGUUGCAAUCUGCUUUUCUUUGAUCGAUUAUUUGAUAGACCGAAUCCUUCCCUUGUGAUUAUCCUCAUCUCUGUGUCCUGAUUUCUGUGGUCGCUUGUUGAAUCAUCAACGUCUACCUAUAUGAACCAGUCAGAUUAGGUGUAAAGAAACGAUGUGGUAUUAUUACUUAGCCAAGUCAUAUAAUUUUUUCGGCAUGAUCCUAGGAAGGCAAGGAGAAAGCCUAUCAGCAUAUGAAGCCCAGUACGGGCGGCGUGGAGGACGCGUCACGAAUCUGAAAUAUGGAACACUUUUUUUUGCACUUAUAUGUUGGACUGCGGGUUAAUUAGUUAAAACCAUAAGGGGCUUUUUGCAAAUAGUGCACGGUGCCCUUUAGUACCACCUCGUCACCUCGUACGUGACUUUAGUACCACAUCGCCAUCUCGCACGUGACCAAAACUAAUGGUAGAAAAAAAAAUCAAUUGCGGGACAAAACUAAGAAUAUCACCUUGCUUUAAUAGUAGGUAUAGAUAUAGAUAUAGAUAUAGAUUCAUCAUCAAUCAAUUAACCGGGGAAGUGCAACGCACACAGGAACACGGCCCAGAAGAUGGGGACCAAUUAAUGGGAUAAUUUUCUUCAGUGACCGUGGGUUUCUCGGUGAGAACUAAAAAACAAAGUCGCCUUCUCCCAAGAGCAACCAGUUGAGGAGCGCUAACUCAGGAGCCCCCUAAAAGACACUUGGGGCGAGAUGAGACCACGCCACAUGAUGCUCCCUCCGGGAAUUUUUUAUCUGGAUUUUCGGUUUUUCACCGGACUUUCUUAACUUUUUGAAAAAAAUAAAUUUAUUCCUCUAAAAAAACAUAUCUUUUUUGCUUCGUGCCUCUCGAAAAUGUAAAAAAAAAUAUUUUUUUUCUUCCAUGAGAGGCACGGCCGUGCCUAUGGGAAAUGCAAAAAAAUCACCUUUUUUUACAUCCGUGAAAGGCAAGGCCGUGCCUCUCAGAAACGUAAAAAAAAUGUUUUUCUAUUUUUUUCCGUGAGAGGCAUGGUUUUUCUUUCACGAGUUGCAUGUAUUUGCUUCCACGAGAGGCACGGCCUCUCGGAAACGUAAAUUUUUUUUUUUCGUGAGAUGAAUGGUUUUGCUUUCGCGAGAGGCACGACCGUGCAACUCGGAAACAAAAAAAACAUGUUUUUUCUUCCGCGAGAGGCAUGGUUGUGCCUCUAGGAAACGAAAAAAACAUGUUUUUCUUUUCUUUCUUUCGCGAGAGGCACGACCAUGCCUCUCAGAAAUAGAAAAAAUGUUUUCUUUUUUCCUUCCGUGAGAGACCCGGUUUUUUCGUCUGGUCCUUUGUGAAAACAAAGUUUCGUCAAGAACUAUCAACAUGGGAUCUAUUAUCGAGGAUCUCGGUGCGAGGAUUCCAAGGGUGAAAACGGUUUGAAAUUUUGACACACGGUUUAAGAGAUAAAACGUUUUGAAUGAAUGAAACUACAAAAAGGGAAAAAUUCCUAGGUUGCGACAAGUGGUGCACAUGCAAUACGCCACUACUAGGGAAAAGCCUAGCAGUGCACCGGUUUUUGGCUAGCAGUAGCGCGGGUAACUGCGCUACUGAUAAGGCGCUAUAGCUAACGUACACAAGUAGCAUGGGUUUACCAGCUCUACUGCUAUACCUACUUAGCAGUAGCGCUGUUGAAUGCACGUGCUACUGGUAGUUACUAGUAGCGCGCCUAUACUCCGCUACUAUUAUUAUUAUUAUUAUUAUUAUUAUUAUUAUUAUUAUUAUGUAUUCUAUUUCUUUUUUAUUUUAUGUCGUAUUCAUACACUGUUAUACAAGUUUUCAUACAGUAGGAAUUUAGAGAUUGUUAUUACAUCAUAAUGAGUUAUUGCAUCAUGUUGGAAAUAUGCCCUAGAGGCAAUAAUAAAAUGGUUAUUAUUAUAUUUCCUUGUUCAUGAUAAUUGUCUACUGUUCAUGCUAUAAUUAUAUUGACCGGAAACUGUAAUACAUGUGUAAAUACAUAGACCACAACAUGUCCCUAGUGAGCCUCUAGUUGACUAGCUCGUUGAUCAACAGAUGGUCAUGGUUUCCUAACCAUGGACAUUGGAGUCAUUGAUAACGGGAUCACAUCAUUAGGAGAAUGAUGUGAUGGACAAGACCCAAUCCUAAGCAUAGCACAAGAUCGUGUAGUUCGUUUGCUAAAAGCUUUUCUAAUGUCAAUUAUAAUUUCCUUAGACCAUGAGAUUGUGCAACUCCCGGAUACCCUAGGAAUGCUUUGGGUGUACCAAAUGUCACAACGUAACUGGGUGGCUAUAAAAGUACACUACAGAUAUCUCCGAAAGUGUCUGCUGGGUUGGCACGAAUCGAGACUGGGAUUUGUUACUCCGUAUGACGGAGAGGUAUCUCUGGGCCCACUCGGUAAUGCAUCAUCAUAAUGAGCUCAAUGUGACUAAGUUGUUAGUCGCGGGAUCAUGCAUUACGGAACGAAUAAAGUGACAUGCCAGUAACAAGAUUGAACGAGGUAUUGGGAUACCGACGAUCGAAUCUCGGGCAAGUAAUGUACCGAUUGACAAAGGGAAUUGUUUACACGAUUGAUUGAACCCCCGACAUCGUGGUUCAUCCGAUGAGAUCAUCGUGGAACAUGUGGGAGCCAACAUGGGUAUCCAGAUCCCGCUGUUGGUUAUUGGCUAGAGAGUAGUCUCGGUCAUGUCUGCAUGAUUCCUGAACCCGUAGGGUCUACAAACUUAAGGUUCGGUGACGCUAGAGUUGUUAUGGGAAUUAGUACCGAAUGUUGUUGGGAGUCCCGGAUGAGAUCCCGGACGUAACGAGGAGUUCCGGAAUGGUCCGGAGGUAAAGAUUUAUAUAUGGGAAGUCCUAUUAUGGCCACCGAAAAAUGUUCGGGAUUUUUCGGUAUUGUACCGAGAAGGUUCUAGAAGGUUCCGGAGUGGGGCCCACCUGCAUGGGGGGACCCACAUAAACGUGGGUAGUGGGGGCAAGGCCCCACACCCCUGGUCAAGGCGCAACAAGAUCCCCCCUUAGAAGGAAUAAGAUCAUAUCCCGAAGGGAUAAGAUCAAGAUCCCUAAAAAGGGGGGAUAACAAUCGGUGGGGAAGAGAAAUGAUGGGAUUUCUUUCAUCCCACCUUUUCCAAUGCCCCAAUGGACUUGGAGGGCAAGAAACCAGCCCCCUCCACCCCUAUAUAUAGUGGGGAGGCGCAUGGGAGCUGAAUCCCUUGCUCCUGCCGUAGCCCUCCCCCUCUCCAACCCACCUCCUCCUCAGUAGUGCUUGGCGAAGCCCUGCCAGAGAAGUACAAGCUCCACCACCACGCCGUCGUGCUGCCGGAGCUCUCCCUCAACUUCUCCUCUCCCCUUGCUGGAUCAAGAAGGAGGAGACGUCCCCAGGAUGUACGUGUGUCGAACGCGGAGGCACCGUCCGUUCUGCGUUAGAUCGGAUAUUCCGCGAUUUGAAUCGCCGCGAGUACGACUCCCUCAUCCGCGUUCUAGUGACGCUUCCGCUUAGCGAUCUUCAAAGGUAUGAAGAUGCUCAUCCUCUCCCUCUCUUGUUGCUAGAAUCUCCAUAGAUUGAUCUUGGUGAUGCGUAGAAAAUUUUGAAUUAUUGCUACGUUCCCCAACAGUGGCAUCAUGUGCUAGGUCUAUUGCGUAGAUUCUAUGCACGAGUACAACACAAGUAGUUGUGGGUGUUGGUUUGUUCAAUCUGCUUACCGUUACUAGUCCUAUCUUGUUUCGGCGGUAUUGUGGGAUGAAGCGGCCCGGACCGACCUUACACGUAUGCUUACAUGAGACAGGUUCCACCGACUGACAUCCAAUUGUUGCAUAAAGGUGGCUAGCGGGUGCCAGUCUCUCCCACUGUAGUCGGAUCGGAUUCGAUGAAAAGGGUCCUUGUGAAGGGUAAAUAGCAAUUGGCAUAUCACCAUUGUGGCUUUUGUGUAGGUAAGAAACGUUCUUGCUAGAAACCCACAGCAGCCACGUAAAACAUGCAACAACAAUUAGAGGAUGUCUAACUUGUUUUUGCAGGGUAUGCUAUGUGAUGUGAUAUGGCCAAAAGAAUGUGAUGAAUGAUAUGCGAUGUAUGAGAUUGAUCAUGUUCUUGUAAUAGGAAUCACGACUUGCAUGUCGAUGAGCAUGACAACCGGCAGCAGCCAUAGGAGUUGUCUUAAUUUAUUGUAUGACCUGCGUGUCAAUGAUAACGCCAUGUAAUUACUUUACUUUAUUGCUAACCGUUAGCCAUAGUAGUAGAAGUAAUAGUUGGCAAGACAACUUCAUGAAGACACGAUGAUGGAGAUCAUGAUGAUGAAAAUCAUGGUGUCAUGCCGGUGACGAAGGUGAUCAUGUUGCACCUCGAAGAUGAUGAUUAAAGGCGCAAAAUGAUAUUGGCCAUAUCAUGUCACUUUAUGAUUUGCAUGUGAUGCUUGUCAUGUUUACAUCUUAUUUGCUUAAAAUGACGGUAGCAUAAAUAAGAUGAUCCCUCAUUAAAAUUUCAAGAAAGUGUUCCCCCUAACUAUGCACCGUUGCGAAAGUUCGUUGUUUCGAAGCACCACAUGAUGAUCGGGUGUGAUAGAUUCUAACGUUCGCAUACAAUGGGUGUAAGCCAGAUUUACACAUGCAAAACACUUCGGUUGACUUGACGAGCCUAGCAUGUACAGACAUGGCCUCGGAACACAAGAGACCGAAAGGUCGAACAUGAGUCGUACAGUAGAUACGAUCAACAUGAAGAUGCUCACCGAUGAUGACUAGUCCGUCUCACGUGAUGAUCGGACACGGCCUAGUUGACUCGGAUCAUGUAUCACUUAGAUGACUAGAAGGAUGUCUAUCUGAGUGGGAGUUCAUUAAAUAAUUUGAUUAGAUGAACUUAAUUAUCAUGAACAUAGUCUAAAAUAUCUUUGCAAUAUGUCUUGUAGAUCAAAUGGCCCACGCUAAUGUUGCCCUCAACUUCAACGCGUUCCUAGAGAAAACCAAGCUGAAAUACGAUGGUAGCAACUAUACGGCAUGGGUCCGAAACUUGAGGAUCAUCCUCAUAGCUGCCAAGAAAGCAUAUGUCCUAGAAGCACCGCUAGGUGAAGCACCCAUUUUCCCAGCAACUCAAGACGUUAUGAAUGCCUGGCAGUUCGUAGUGAUGAUUACUCCCUGGUUCAGUGCGGCAUGCUUUACAGCUUAGAACCAGGGCUCCAAAAGCGUUUUGAGAAGCACAGAGCAUAUUAGAUGUUCCAAGAGCUGAAAAUGGUUUUCCAAGCUCAUGCCCGGGUCAAGAGAUAUGAUGUCUCCUAGAAGUUCUACAGUUGUAAGAUGGAGGAGAACAGUUCUGUCAGUGAGCACAUACUCACUAUGUCCGGGUUACACAAUUGUUUGUCUCAGUUGGGAGUUAAUCGCCCAGAUGACUCGGUCAUUGACAGGAUCCUCCAGUCGCUCCCACCUAGCUACAAGAGCUUUGUGAUGAAAUACAAUAUGCAGGGGAUGGAGAAGUCCAUUCCUGAGCUGUAUUCAAUGCUAAAAUCAGCGGAGGUGGAAAUCAAAAAGGAACAUCAAGUGUUGAUGGUGAAUAAGACCAGUAGUUUCAAGAAAGGCAAGGGUAAAAAGAACUUCAAGAAGGACGGCAAGGGAGUUGCCGCACCCGGUAAAUCAGUUGCCGGGAAGAAGCCAAACAAUGGACCCAAGCCCGAGACUCAGUACUUUUAUUGCAAGUGAAAUGGUCACUGGAAGCAGAACUGCCCCAAGUACUUAGCGGACAAGAAGGCUGGCAACACCAAAGGUAUAUGUGAUAUACAUGUUAUUGAUGUGUACCUUACCAGUACUCGUAGUAGCUCUUAGGUAUUUGAUACCGGUGCGGUUGCUCAUAUUUGUAACUCAAAACAGGAGCUGCGGAAUAGGCGGAUACUGGCGAAGGACAAGGUGACGAGGCGCAUCGGGAAUGGUUCAAAGGUUGAUGUGAUUGCCAUCGGCACGCUACCUCUACAUUUACCUACGGGAUUAGUUUUAAACCUCAAUAAUUGUUAUUUACUGCCAGCUUUGAGCAUGCACAUUGUAUCUGGAGCUCGUUUAAUGUGAGAUGGCUACUCAUUUAAAUCCAAAAAUAAUGGUUGUUCUAUUUAUUUGAGAGAUAUGUUUUAUGGUCAUGCCCCACUGGUCAAUGGUUUAUUCUUAUGGAAUCUCGAACGUGAUGUUACACAUAUUUGUAGUGUGCGUACCAAAAGAUGUAAGGUUAAUAAUGAUAGUCCCACAUACUUGUGGCACUGCCGCCAUUGUCACAUUGGUGUCAAACGCAUGAAGAAGCUCCAUGCAGAUGGACUUUUGGAGUCUCUUGAUUAUGAAUCAUUUGACACAUAUUAACCAUGCCUCAUGGGUAAGAUGACCAAGACUCCGUUCUCCGGAACAAUGGAGCGAGCAACCAACUUGUUGGAAAUCAUACAUAUUGAUGUGUGCGGUCCAAUGAGCGUUGAGGCUCGCGGUGUCUAUCAUUAUGUUCUCACCCUCACUGAUGACUUAAGUAGAUAUGGGUAUGUCUACUUAAUGAAACACAAGUCUGAGACCUUUGAAAAGUUCAAGGAAUUUCAGAGUGAGGUGGAGAAUCAACGUGACAGGAAAAUAAAGUUCUUACUAUCAGAUCAUCGAGGAGAAUAUUUAAGUCACGAGUUUGGUACGCACUUAAGGAAAUGUGGAAUAAUUUCACAACUCACACCGCCUGGAACACCUCAGCGUAAUGGUGUGUUCGAACGUCGUAAUCGCACUCUAUUGGACAUGGUGUGAUCUAUGAUGUCUCUUAUUGAUUUACCGCUAUCAUUUUGGGGAUAUGCUUUAGAGACAGUCACAUUCACUUUAAAUAGGGCACCGUCUAAAUCCGUUGAGACGACACCUGAUAACCCACAAGUGUAGGGGAUCGCAACAGUUUUCGAUAAGUAAGAGUGUCGAACCCAAUGAGGAGCUAAAGGUAGAAUGAAUAUUACCUCAAGUUCUAUCGACCGCCGAUACAACUCUAUGCACGCUUGACGUUCGCUUUACCUAGAACAAGUAUGAAACUAGAAGUACUUUGUAGGAGUGAUAGGAAAGGUUUGCAAGAAAAUAAAGAGCACAUAAACAUAAACUAGGGGCUGAUUAGAAGCAAUAAAGUAAAUAUAGCGAGUGUGGAAAAGUGGUGGUAGGAGUUGUGAAAUUGUCCCUAAGCAAUUGACUAUGUUACUAGACCGAUAAUCACUAUUGCAAUUCUAUUUGAGGGAGAGGCAUAAGCUAACAUACUUUCUCUACUUGGAUCAUAUGCACUUAUGAUUGGAACUCUAGCAAGCAUCCGCAACUACUAAAGAUUCAUUAAGGUAAAACACAACCAUAGCAUUAAAGUAUCAAGUCCUCUUUAUCCCAUACGCAACAACCUACUUACUCGGGUUUGUGUCUCAGUCACUCACGCAACCCACUAUAAGCAAAUCAUGAAUGCAUUGCAACACGCUACAGCGGUAAUCCCUCACGCUUGCGCGACACGGAUGGCACCAUAGGUUAGCACUAAUAAUGAAAUAUGCAACUCAAACUAAUCAUAGCAAUUCAUCAAUCACCGAUAGGACAACGGAAAUCUACUCAGACAUCAUAGGAUGGCAACACAUAUUUGGAUAAUAAUAUGAAGCAUAAAGCACCAUGUUCAAGUAGAGGGUACAACGGGUUGCGGGAGAGUGGACCACUGGAUAUAGAAGGGGGAAGGUGAUGGAGAUGUUGGUGAAGAUGAAGGCGGUGUUGGUGAAGAUCGCGGUGAUGAUGAUGGCCCCUGGCAGCGCUCCGGCGCCACCGGAAGCAAGGGGAAGAGAGCCCUCCUUCUUCUUCUUCUUCCUUGACCUCCUCCCUAGAUGGGAGAAGGGUUUCCCCUCUGGUCCUUGGCUCCCAUGGCUUGGGAGGGGCGAGAGCCCCUCCGAGAUUGGAUCUAUCUCUCUGUUUCUGCGUUGCCAGAUUCUAUCCCUUCACCGUUUCUUUAAUAUCCGGAGAUCCGUAACUCCGAUUGGGGUGAACCUUUCCCCCAGAUUUUUCUCGUAAAAUUAGCUUUCCUGUUGCAAAAGAAGGGCAUCAACCGCCUUACGGGUGGCCCACGAGAGGCCAGGGCACGCCUGCCUCCCUGGUGCGCGCCCCCCUAUCUCGUGGCCACCUCGGACACCGUUUCGCGUUGAUUCUUUCUCCAAAUAAUCCCAAAUAUUCCAAAUAAUUCUCCAUCCGUUUUUAUCCCGUUUGGACUCUGUUUGAUAUUGGUUUUCUUCGAAACAUCAAACAUGCAACAAACAGGAACUGACACUGGGCACUGGAUCAAUAUGUUAGUCCCAAAAAUAGUAUAAAAAGUUGCCAAAAGUAUAUGAAAGUUGAAGAAUAUUGGCAUGGAACAAUCAAAAAUUAUAGAUACGACGGAGACGUAUCAGCAUCCCCAAGCUUAAUUCCUGCUCGUCCUCGAGUAGGUAAAUGAUAAAAAAGAUAAUUUUUGAUGUGGAAUGCUACCUAGCAUUAUCUUGAUCAUACGUCUAGUCAUGGCAUGAAUAUUAAGACACUAGUGAUUCAAAGCAACAGUCUAUCAUUUGACAUAAAAAAUGAUAGUACUUCGAGCGUACCAAUAAAGCAAUCAUGUCUUUUCAAAACAACAAGGCCAAAGCAAGCUUAUCCCUACAAAAUCAUACAGUUUGGCCAUGCUUCAUUUUCGUCACACAAAAUGCUCCCAUCAUGCACAACCCCCAUGACGAGCCGAGCAAUUGGUUCAUACUUUUUAACGCGCUUCAGCUUUUUCAACCCUCAUGCAAUACAUGAGCGCAAGCCAUGGAUAUAGCACUAUAGGUGGAAUAGAAUAUAAUGAUGGAGGUUAUGUGGAGAAGACAAAAAGGGAGAAAGUCUCACAUCGACGCGGCUAAUCAACGGGCUAUGGAGAUGCCCAUCAAUUGGUGUCAAUGCGAGGAGUAGGGAUUGCCAUGCAACGGAUGCACUAAGAGCUAUAAGUGUAUGAAAGCUCAAACUGAAAACUAAGUGGGUGUGCAUCCAACUUGCUUGCUCAUGAAGACCUAGGGCAUUUGAGGAAGCCCAUCGUUAGAAUAUACAAGCCAAGUUCUAUAAUGAAAAUUCCCACUAGUAUAUGAAAGUGACAAUAUAAGAGACUCUCUAUAUGAAGAACAUGGUGCUACUUUGAAGCACAAGUGUGGAAAAAGGAUAGUAGCAUUGCCCCUUUUAUUUUUUUUAUUUUUUUCUUUUCGGUGGGCUUCUUUGGCCCCCUUUUUUAUUUAAGCUUCUUUGGCCUUUCCUUUUUUUUCUUUUUUUUCUAGGGCAAUGCUCUAUAAUGAUGAUCAUCACACUUUUAUUUACUUAAACUCGAUACUAGAACAAAGAUAUGACUCUAUAUGAAUGCCUCCGGCGGUGUACCGGGAUGUGCAAUGAUCUAGCGUAGCAAUGACAUCAAAAAACGGAGAAGCCAUGAAAACAUCAUGCUAGCUAUCUUACGAUCAUGCAAAGCAAUAUGACAAUAAAUGCUCAAGUCAUGUAUAUGAUGAUGAUGGAAGUUGCAUGGCAAUAUAUCUCGGAAUGGCUAUGGAAAUGCCAUGAUAGGUAGGUAUGGUGGCUGUUUUGAGGAAGAUAUAAUGAGGCUUAUGUGUGAUAGAGCGUAUCGUAUCACGGGGUUUGGAUGCACCGGCGAAGUUUGCACCAACUCUCGAGGUGAGAAAGGGCAAUGCACGGUACCGAAGAGGCUAGCAAUGAUGGAAAGGUAAAAGUGCGUAUAAUCCAUGGACUCACAUUAGUCAUAAAGAACUCAUAUACUUAUUGCAAAAGUUUAUUAACCCUGGAAGCAAAGUACUACUACGCAUGCCCCUAGGGGGAUAGAUUGGUAGGAAAAGACCAUCGCUCGUCCCCGACUGCCACUCAUAAGGAAGACAAUCAAAGAAACACCCCAUGCUUCAAUUUUUUCACACAACGGUUACCAUACGUGCAUGCUAUGGGACUUGCAAACCUCAACACAAGUGUCUCUACAAUCCACAACCACCCACUAGCAUGACUCUAAUAUCACCAUCUUUAUAUUGCAAAACUAUUGCAAGAAUCAAACAUAUCAUAUUCAGCGAUCUACAAGUUUAUGUAGGAUUUUAUGACUAACCAUGUGAAUGACCAAUUCCCGUCAUCUCUCUAAAUAGAUAUAAGUGAAGCAAGAGAGUUUAAUUCUUUCUACAAAAGAUAUGCCCACACUCUAAUAAAUAUAAGUGAAGCAAAAGAGCAUUCUACAAAUGGCGGUUUUCUAUGUGAAGAGAAACAGGCAAUCCAAACUUCAAAUGAUAUAAGUGAAGCACAUGAAGCAUUCUAUAAAGCCAUACUCAAAAGAUAUAAGUGAAGUGCAAAGAGCAUUCUACAAAUCAAUCAAGGACUAUCUCAUACCAGCAUGGUGCAUAAAAGAAAAAUGAAAACUAAAUGCAAAAGACGCUCCAAGACUUGCACAUAAUGCAUAAACAAAACGAAUUCGAAAACAUACCGAUACUUGUUGAAGAAAGAGGGGAUGCCUUCUGGGGCAUCCCCAAGCUUAGAUGCUUGAGUCUCCUUUGAAUAUUUACUUGGGGUGCCUUGGACAUCCCCAAGAUUGAUCUCUUGCCUCUCUUCCUUUUUCUCACAUCGAAACCUCCUCGAUUAGACACUUCAUCCACACAAAACUUCAACAGAAAACUCGGAAAGAUCCGUUAGUAUAAUGAUGCAAAUCACUACUCUAAGUACUGUAGUAAACCAAUUCAUGCUUUGUAUUUGCAUUGUGUAUACUGUAAUAUAACUUUUUCAUGGCUUAAUCCACUGAUAUAAAUUGAUAGAUUCAUCAAAAUAAGCAAACUAUGCAUCAAAAACAGAAUCUGUCAAAAACAGAACAGUUUGUAGCAAUCUGAACAUUCACGAUACUUCUGGUACCCCAACAAUUCUACCCAAAUUAGGAAAAAUAAACAAGUUGUACAGCAAGAUAGUGCAAAAGGAAUCAGAACCAUUUGACGUUCCAAUUAAAAAUGUAAAAUCGAGCACUACAGCCAAAGUUUCUGUCCUGCACCGUACAAACCAACAAGCAUUGUAAACAUCCUAAAGGCAAACCUUGGCACAUUAUUUUUAUAAUACAAUGGAAUUAUACAAGGGGAUAAUUAUUUUUUAUGAAAAGUUUCUGUAAUCAAGAUUCACAAAGUUUCCGUGAGCAUGAACAAAGUUCAAGGCUAGCUCCCACUUCAACAAUGCUUGUCUCUCUCACUUUCACUUUUCUUUUUGAAAAGUUUUUAGGUUCCCCUCUUUAUUUUUUUGUUUUUAAACUAUAUAAAAGCACUCAACAGAAAUAAAUGAGUCUUACAUGAAUCUCUAAAACUUCCGGGUUGUCUCCCUAGCAGCGCUUUCUUUAAAGCCAUUAAGCUAGGCAUAUAGUUCUCAAGUAAAUGAUCCACCCGGAUCCCAAGGUAUAUCAAAGCCAAUUUUAAUUAACAAUGAUUUGUAAUUUAGUAGUGAGCACAAAGUAACAUACAUCAUGCAACAACGAAGUCUAACUCUCUUCCUAUGCAUCGGCAUGUCAUAAAAGAACAAUUCAUGCACACCAAGUAAAGGCCAAUGCAUAGAAUAAGCAGUUUCUUGCAAUUCUAUCGUGUUGGAAACAUAAAGAGGCGGAGAUGUAGUUCCUCUCUCAUAAUAAUUGCAAGUAGGAGCAGCAAGCACAUGCAUAUUAUAUUCAUCAAAAUCAUCAUGUGCAACAGUAAAAGGCAACCCAUCAAUAUAAUCCUUAAUAAGCACAAACUUCUCCGAUAUAGUGUAGUUGGGAGAAUUCAAAAAGAUAAUAGGACUAUCGUGCGUGGGUGCAAUAGCAACAAUUUCAUGUUUAACAUAAGGAAAUAUAGCAAGUUCAUCUCCAUAAGCAUAAUUCAUAUUAGCAUCUUGGCCACAAGCAUAGCAAGCAUCAUCAAAAAGGGGUAUUUCAAACAAAUUCAAGGGAUCAUAGCAAUCAUCAUAACAAUCAUCCUUCGGUAAGCACGAAGGGGAAUUAAGUAAUGUAUGAGUUGGAGGGUUACUCUCAUUGGAAGGUGGGCACGGGUAGCUAAUCCGCUCUUCCUCCUUUUGUUCUUCGCUCUCCUCAUCAUCUUUUUCAUCCAAUGAGUUCACAGUUUCAUCAAUUUCUUCUUCCAUAGCUUCCUGCAAAAUAUUAGUCUCUUCUUGGACAGCGGAGAAUUUCUUCAUAAAAGCAUUAAUAUAGUAAUUGUAUUCAUAAUUUUCAUAGCAAUAUCUAAGUAUAGCUAAAUUUUCAGGUCUAGAAACUGAAUCAUCAAAAUCAUCAAAAGCUUUAAACAUAGCUCAUAAGCACCCAUAAAAGCAACAAAUUCUUCUAUUUGUUCCACAUCAUAGUAAUCAUAUCUACCAUUAGCAUAAGAAGCUAAGGUUUCAUUAUCAUUGAAUUUGCAUGAAAAGGGAAGGUGUGGAUCCUUCAUCCUAGAGCAAAAAAUAUAAUCAUGCAUCACGCAUAGUUGACGAGCAUACCAACGCAAAAUAAUAAAUUGAUCCCAUAAUAGUUCCCCUUUUUGUGUCAAGCGAUAAUCCCUAAAGUAUUCACGUUGAUCCAACGUGUCUCCCAUUAUAAAGUUUAAUGGGGUUUUCUCAGGAUUAUCAAAGUAGUACAUAAUAUCUUUCACAUAAUGAGAAUCAGAGGUUUUAGGAGUUACCCCAUCUACAUGAGUAGCAAGUACCUCUAAUUUUUUUGGUAUUUUGUGUUCCAUAUCCAUAACUAAAGAUAGAGAACAACUAAGAACAACAAAUAAAAAUUACUUAGUGAUAAAGCAAACAAGCACACACGAGAAUAUUCACCCCACGCUAUGACUCCCCGGCAACGGCGCCAGAAAAAGGUCUUGAUAACCCACAAGUGUAGGGGAUCGCAACAGUUUUCGAUAAGUAAGAGUGUCGAACCCAACGAGGAGCUAAAGGUAGAAUAAAUAUUCCCUCAAGUUCUAUCGACCACCGAUACAACUCUACGCACGCUUGACGUUCGCUUUACCUAGAACAAGUAUGAAACUAGAAGUACUUUGUAGGAGUGAUAGGAAAGGUUUGCAAGAAAAUAAAGAGCACGUAAAAAUAAACUAGGGGCUGAUUAGAAGCAAUACAGUAAAUAUAGCGAGUGUGGAAUAGUGGUGGUAGGAGUUGUGAAAUUGUCCCUAAGCAAUUGACUAUGUUACUAGACCGAUAAUCACUAUUGCAAUUCUAUUUGAGGGAGAGGCAUAAGCUAACAUACUUUCUCUACUUGGAUCAUAUGCACUUAUGAUUGGAACUCUAGCAAGCAUCCGCAACUACUAAAGAUUCAUUAAGGUAAAACCCAACCAUAGGAUUAAAGUAUCAAGUCCUCUUUAUCCCAUACGCAAAAACCUACUUACUCGGGUUUGUGCUUCAGUCACUCACGCAACCCACUAUAAGCAAAUCAUGAACGCAUUGCAACACCCUACAGCGGUAAUCCCUCACACUUGCGCGACACGGAAGGCACCAUAGGACAACACCAAUAAUAAAAUAUGACACUCAAACCAAUCAUAGCAAUUCAUCAAUCACCGAUAGGACAACGGAAAUCUACUCAGACAUCAUAGGAUGGCAACACAUCUUUGGAUAAUAAUAUGAAGCAUAAAGCACCAUGUUCAAGUAGAGGGUACAGCGGGUUGCGGGAGAGUGGACCGCUGGAUAUACAAGGGGAAAGGUGAUGGAGAUGUUGGUGAAGAUGACGGCGGUGUUGGUGAAGAUCGCGGUGAUGAUGAUGGCCCCCGGCAGCACUCCGGCGCCACCGGAAGCAAGGGGAAGAGAUCCCCCCUUCUUCUUCUUCUUUCUUGACUUCCUCCCUAGAUGGGAGAAGGGUUUCCCCUCUGGUCCUUGGCUCCCAUGGCUUGGGAGGGGCGAGAGGCCCUCCGAGAUUGAUCUAUCUCUCUGUUUCUGCGUUCCCAGAUUCUAUCCCUUCACUGUUUCUUUAAUAUCCGGAGAUCCGUAACUCCGAUUGGGAUGAAUCUUUCGCCCAGAUUUUUUCUCGUAAAAUUAGCUUUCUUGUAGCGAAAGAAGGGCAUCAACCGCCUUACGGGUGGCCCACGAGAGGCCAGGGCGCGCCUGCCUCCCUGGGGCGCGCCCCCCUAUCUCGUGGCCACCUCGGACACCGUUUCGCGUUGAUUCUUCCUCCGGAAAAUCCCAAAUAUUCCAAAAUAAUUCUCCGUCCGUUUUUAUCCCGUUUGGACUCCGUUUGAUAUUGGUUUUCUGUGAAACAUAAAACAUGCAACAAACAGGAACUGGCACUAGGCACUGGAUCAAUAUGUUAGUCCCAAAAAUAGUAUAAAAAGUUGCCAAAAGUAUAUGAAAGUUGAAGAAUAUUGGCAUGGAACAAUCAAAAAUUAUAGAUACGGCGGAGACAUAUCAACACCGUAUAAAUUAUGGUUUUGGAAGAAACCUAAGCUGUCGUUUCUAAAAGUUUGGGGAUGCGAUGCUUAUGUCAAGAAACUUCAACCUGAAAAGCUCGAACCCAAGUUGGAAAAAUGCGUCUUCAUAGGAUACCCUAAGGAAACCAUUGGGUAUACCUUCUACCUCAGAUCCGAAGGCAAGAUCUUUGUUGCCAAGAACGGAUCCUUUCUUGAGAAAGAGUUUCUCCCGAAAGAAGUAAGUGGGAGGAAAGUAGAACUUGAUGAAGUGCUACCUCUUGAACCGGAUAGUAGCGCAACUCAGGAAGAUAUUUCUGUGGUGCCUACACCAACUAGAGAGGAAGUUAAUGAUGAUGAUCAAGGCACUUCUGAUCAAGUUGCUACUGAACUUCGUAGGUCCACAAGGACACGUUCCACACCAGAAUGGUAUGGCAACCCUGUCCUGGAAAUCAUGUUGUUAGACAACGGUGAACCUUCAAACUAUGAAGAAGCAAUGGCGGGCCCAGAUUCCAACAAUGGCUUGAAGCCAUGAAAUCUGAGAUAGGAUCCAUGUAUGAAAACAAAGUAUGGACGUUGACAGACUUGCCCGAUGAUCGGCGAGCCAUAGAAAAUAAAUGGAUCUUUAAGAGGAUGACUGACGCGGAUGGUAAUGUAACCAUCUAUAAGGCUCGGCUUGUCGCUAAGGGUUAUCGACAAGUACAAGGGGUUGACUACGAUGAGACCUUCUCACCCGUAGUGAAGCUGAAGUCUGUCUGAAUCAUGUUAGCAAUUGCCGCAUUCUAUGAUUAUGAGAUAUGGCAAAUGGACGUCAAAACGGCAUUCCUUAAUGGUUUCCUUAAGGAAGAAUUGUAUAUGAUGCAGCUGGAAGGUUUUGUCGAUCCUAAGAAUGCUAACAAGGUGUGCAAGCUCCAGCGCUCCAUCUAUGGGCUAGUGCAAGCAUCUCGGAGUUGGAACAUUCGCUUUGAUGAAAUGAUCAAAGCGUUUGGGUUUAUGCAGACUUAUGGAGAAGUCUGCGUUUACAAGAAACUGAGUGGGAGCUCUGUAGCAUUUCUCAUAUUAUAUGUGGAUGAUAUACUAUUGAUGGGAAAUGAUAUAGAACUUUUGCAAAGCAUAAAGGCCUACUUGAAUAAGUGUUUUUCAAUGAAGGACCUUGGAGAAGCUGCUUACAUAUUAGGCAUCAAGAUCUAUAGGGAUAGAUCAAGACGCCUCAUAGGUCUUUCACAAAGCACAUACCUUGAUAAGAUAUUGAAGAAGUUCAAUAUGGAUCAGUCCAAGAAAGGGUUCUUUCCUGUUCUGUAAGGUGUCAAAUUGAGCACGGCUCAAUACCCGACCUCGGCAGAAGAUAGAGAAAAGAUGAGUGUCAUCUCCUAUACCUCAUCCAUAGGGUCUAUUAUGUAUGACAUGCUUGUACCAGACCUGAUGUAAACCUUGCCAUAAGAGUGAUAGGGAGGUACCAAAGUAAUCCCGACAUGGAACACUGGACAUCGGUCAAGAAUAUCCUGAAGUACUUGAAAAGGACUAAGGAUAUGUUCCUCGUUUAUGGAGGUGACGAAGAGCUCGUCAUAAAGGGUUACGUCGAUGCUAGCUUUGAUACAGAUCUGGAUGAAUCCAAGUCACAAACUGGAUACGUGUAUAUUUUGAAUGGUGGGGCGGUCAGCUGGUGCAGUUGCGAGCAAAGCGUCGUGGUGGGAUCUACAUGUGAAGCAGAGUACAUGGCAGCCUCGGAGGCAGCACAUGAAGCAAUCUGGAUGAAGGAGUUCAUUACCGACCUAGGAGUUAUUCCCAAUGCGUCGGGCCCGAUGACUCUCUUCUGUGACAACACUGGAGCUAUUGCCCUUGCCAAGGAGCCGAGGUUUCACAAGAAGACCAGGCAUAUCAAGUGUCGCUUCAACUCCAUUCGUGACAAUGUUCAAUAUGGAGACAUAGAUAUUUGUAAAGUGCAUACGGAUCUGAAUGUCACAGAUCCGUUGACUAAACCUCUUCCACGAGCAAAACAUGAUCAACACCAGAACUCUAUGGGUGUUCGACUCAUCACAAUGUAACUAGAUUAUUGACUCUAGUGCAAGUGGGAGACUGUUGGAAAUAUGCCCUAGAGGCAAUAAUAAAAUGGUUAUUAUUAUAUUUGCUUGUUCAUGAUAAUUGUCUAUUGUUCAUGCUAUAACUGUAUUGACCGGAAACCGUAAUACAUGUGUGAAUACAUAGACCACAACAUGUCCCUAGUGAGCCUCUAGUUGACUAGCUCGUUGAUCAACAGAUGGUCAUGGUUUCCUGACCAUGGACAUUGGAUGUCAUUGAUAACGGGAUCACGUCAUUAGGAGAAUGAUGUGAUGGAAAAGACCCCCUGAGCAUAGCACAAGAUCGUGUAGUUUGUUUGCUAAAAGCUUUUCUAAUGUCAAGUAUCAUUUCCUUAGACCAUGAGAUUGUGCAACUCCCGGAUACCGUAGGAAUGCUUUGGGUGUACCAAACGUCACAACGUAAUUGGGUGGCUAUAAAGGUAGACUACAGGUAUCUCCGAAAGUGUCUGUUGGGUUGGCACGAAUCGAGACUAGGAUUUGUCACUCCAUAUGACAGAGAGGUAUCUCUGGGCCCACUCGGUAAUGCAUCAUCAUAAUGAGCUCAAUGUGACUAAGUAGUUAGUCGCGGGAUCAUACAUUAUGGAACGGCUAAAGUGACUUGCCGGCAAUGAGAUUGAAUGAGGUAUUGGGAUACCGACGAUCGAAUCUCGGGCAAGUAACGUACCGAUUGACAAAGGGAAUUGUAUACGUGAUUGAUUGAAUCCCCGACAUCGUGGUUCAUCCGAUGAGAUCAUCAUGGAACAUGUGGGAGCCAACAUGGGUAUCCAGAUUCCGCUGUUGGAGAUUGGCCAGAGAGCUGUCUCGGUCAUGUCUGCAUGAUUCCCGAACCCAUAGGGUCUACACACUUAAGGUUUGGUGACGCUAGAUUUGUUAUGGGAAUUAGUGUGCAGUUACCGAAUGUUGUUCGGAGUCCCAGAUGAGAUCCCGGACGUCAUGAGUAGUUCCGGAAUGGCCCGGAGGUAAAGAUUUAUAUAUGGGAAGUCCUAUUAUGGCCACCGGGAAAUGUUCGGGAUUUUUCGGUACUGUACCGGGAAGGUUCUAGAAGGUUCUGGAGUGGGGCCCACCUGCAUGGGGGGACCUACAUGAAUGGGGGUAGUGGGGGCAAGGCCCCACACCCCUGGUCAAGGUGCACCAAGAUCCCCCCUUAGAAGGAAUAAGAUCAUAUCCCGAAGGGAUAAGAUCAAGAUCCCUAAAAAGAGGGGAUAACAAUCGGUGGGGAAGGGAAAUGAUGGGAUUUCUUUCCUCCCACCUUUGCCAAUGCCCCAAUGGACUUGGAGGGCAAGAAACCAGCCCCCUCCACCCCUAUAUAUAGUGGGGAGGCGCAUGGGAGCUGAAUCCCUUGCCCCUGGCGCAACCCUCCCCCUCUCCAACUCCAACUCCUCCUCAGUAGUGCUUGGCGAAGCCCUGCCGGAGAACUCCAAGCUCCACCACCACGCCGUCGUGCUGCCGGAGCUCUCCCUCAACUUCUCCUCUCCCCUUGAUGGAUCAAGAAGGAGGAGACGUCCCCGGGCUGUACGUGUGUCGAACCCGGAGGCGCCGUCCGUUCGGCGUUAGAUCGGAUCUUCCAUGAUUUGAAUCGCCGCGAGUACGACUCCCUCAUCCGCAUUCUAGUGACGCUUCCGCUUAGUGAUCUUCAAAGGUAUGAAGAAGCUUAUCCUCUCCCUCUCUUGUUGCUAGAAUCUCCAUAUUGAUUUUGGUGAUGCGUAGAAAAUUUUGAAUUAUUGCUACAUUCCCCUCAGAAACGUGAAAGGUAGCGCCGUGCCUCUCAGAAAAAUAAAAAAUUGUUUUUCUAUUUUUUUUCCGUGAGAGGCAUGGUUUUGCUUUCACGAGUUGCACGGAUUUGCUUCCAUGAGAGGCACGGCCUCUCGGAAACGUAAAAAAAGUUCUUUUUCUUUCAUGAGAUGCACGGUUUUGCUUCCGCGACAGGCACGGCCGUGCAUCUCGGAAACGAAAAAAACACGUUUUUUCUUCCACGAGAGGCACGGUUGUGCCUCUAGGAAACGAAAAAAAACAUGUUUUUCUUUUCUUUCUUUCGCGAGAGGCACGACCAUGCCUCUCGGAAACAGAAGAAAAUGUUUUCUUUUCUUCCUUCCGUGAGAGACCCGGUUUUUUCGUCUGGUUCUUUGUGAAAACAAAGUUUCGUCAAGACCUAUCAACGUGGGAUCUAUUAUUGAGGAUCUCGAGACGAGGAUUCCAACGGUGAAAACGGUUCGAUAUUUGGACACACGGUUUAAGAGAUAAAACGUUUUGAAUGAAUGAAACUAUAAAAAAGGGAAAAAUUCCUAGGUUGCGACAAGUGAUGCUCAUGCAAUGCGCCACUACUAGGGAAAAUCCUAGCAGUGCGACGGUUUUUGGCUAGCAGUAGGGCGGGUAACCGCGCUACUGAUAAGGCGCUAUAACUAACGUAUACAAGUAGCAUGGGUUUACCAGCUCUACUGCUAAACCUACUUAGCAGUAGCGUUGUUGAAUGCACACGCUACUGGUAGUUACUAGUAGCGCGCCUCUACUCCGCGCUACUACUAUUAUUAUGUAUUCUAUUUCUUUUUUUAUGUCGUAUUCAUAUACCAUUAUACAAGUUUUCAUACAGUAGGAAUUUAGAGAUUGUUAUUAUGUCAUAAUGAGUUAUUGCAUCAUUGGGUGAAAGAACCGCGGAUUAGUUUCAAGUGGAUGGAUCCAAAGUGACCAAGCUGGAUUAGCACGUUAAUCCAGCUUGGUCCCUUUGGAUCCAUCCAUCUGAAACUAAUAUGUGGUCCUUUCUUUCACCCAAUGAUAUAAUAACUCAUCAUCAUCAUAAUAUAAUUAAUAACUUAUCAUCAUAAUACAUCAUUGUCAUAUAACAACUCCUCCUUAUCAUCAUUUUCGUCCAUCAGACAUCAUAUAACAACUUGGUCACUAGUCAUAACAAGAACUCCUAAUCAGCAUCAUCAUAUUACUCAUAAUCACAACUCCUCCUCCUCCUCAUCAUCAUAGGCAUCAUCAUCAUAGUCAUAAUCAACACUAACGAAUUGUUGUUAAUACCUGGGACCUACUCCUCUCUCCUAGUUAAAAUACCAUAAAACAAAUAAACCGGUCCAUAUCCAUAAUGGAGAAUGGAGAUAAAACUAUCUCCAACUUGUGGCUUGCGCACAUUCAUGUUGUCUCCAAGUAGUUGCGUAUGUGCAUUCAUCACUUUGCUCCAUUCUUUGAUUUUGAGCCUUCCAUCGUUUGAACAAAUCAAGUAUGCACUAUGGUAAGCCUUCAAAGGAGUUGGUCGUAAGCUAACCAUAUGCAUAUCACCUUCACUAAAUAUCAAGUCAGGCACAACCUUCUUCGGGAGCCUCUGUUGAAAAACGUAAUAGUAACAUAUAUAGUUAGCAGUGUAGUUUACUUAAGAAGAAUGUAUGGAAUAAAGUUACCAUCAUUAACAAAUCUUACCAAGUUUUUGGCAAUGAAGUUACCAUCAAGCAAUUUAUGGACUAGUGGCACAUAUCUAGUAAAAUUUGGGCUGAUAGAGUGAUUGGUUUUAAUGGCCUCAACAUCAUCUAUGAAUGAGACAAGAUAACCUUUCUUCUCACAAUUAAGCCCGGAGUCAUAGUUGUAGUAUGUGCUGUCUACAACCUUCCGAGUAUUUCUUGAAGAUAAGAAAUAAGCUAACAAUUAUAAAUAUAUAAGUUUAGUACCGAUGAACACCAAAUAUUCUUAAAUUAACAAUAUAAAUUACUUAACUUAAAAAAUUAGUUUGACAAACUCACAUCGAGGCAAAACUGGAGGCAUAUCCACAUCCACCGAGAUGUCGAUAUUAUCAUCAAAUCGUAUUUCCAUACCCUCCUCAAAUCAUAAUCUUCGGGAUGAAUAUCAAAUCUUAUUUCCAUACCCUCCUCAAAUCCAUAUGACUUGAAGAGAGCUUCCCAAUUAGAGUAACUGAAAUGGGAGUGAUUGAUCGCAUUGUACAACUUAACCAGAAACUCAUAACCAUGUAUUUGUUCUUAAGUGAGCCAUCCUCGUCUCCAUAUUCUCAAAGUCUUCGAAACCAAGUUUCUCCAAUACAUAUGGUCUAGCAUGGCACGGGAUGUACUGAUCAAAUUGAAAAAAAAUUCCAAAAUUACACGUUGAACAAAAGAAGCACAAUUGAUGAUAUUAAUUACGAUGAAAUGCAUGUCAUUGCGUACCGUACAAACAUCAAAGGUCUCUUCCAGCUUCGUGGUUAAAAGCCUAUAAUUUUGCAGGUGAGGAAACCCGUCGCACAAACCCCGGUCAUUGUAGCAGUACCCGCACUCCGGGAUCCCAUCAUCAUCAGACAUCUCAUAUGUUCAAAAUUCAAAGAUCAUAACUCGACGACAAAACCCAAAAUGUCGUUUAAUGCUCUUUCCGGCAAAUCCAAGGCACUCUUUAUUUCCUACAUUCUAGCACAAGUCAUGCUCAAAUCAACGGAAAAUUCCGGCAUGACCUUUGUUAAAAAAGGACAUACCGAGCGCCUGAAAUUUGCUGGAAUGGAAAUUAAUCAACACUCCGGCAAAACAUAGGCCACUCGGAGGUGUUCUCCGGCAAAAACCCUAGAAGUUAUCAAGUAAAUAUCCAAUUUGAAUAUAACUUACUGUCUAAUUCUUGAACCAUAGAAAAAUUCCCUAAUUUCACAAUAUAACUUUCUGUCUACUUCUUGAACCAUAGAAAAAUGCUCUAAUAUCCAAUUUGAAUAUAAAUUACUGUAUACAUCUUGAACCAUAGAAAAAUGCCCUAAUUUCACAACAUAACUUAGAGUUUUAUUGCUGAAAUUCCUAUUACUAAAUUUGAUACCUAAAAAUUUGUCAUAUAGCAUUCCAAUACAUUUCUAUAAUUCAAAAUGUAUACCUAUAUUCUACAACAAAAUUCUACCUAUCUAUACUAUUCAAAAAACCUACAUUAGAAGCAUACUAAACCUAAUAUUUUAGAUUUUACUAAUUCACUCUAAACACUAUAAGCUAUCAACUAAACCCUAGAAGCAUACUAAAUCAAAGUGUUACAUAUAACUAAAUCUAAGCACUAUAAGCUAUCAACUAAACCCUAACUGUGUGGAUGGAGGAGGGAGGAGCGNNNNNNNNNNNNNNNNNNNNNNNNNNNNNNNNNNNNNNNNNNNNNNNNNNNNNNNNNNNNNNNNNNNNNNNNNNNNNNNNNNNNNNNNNNNNNNNNNNNNNNNNNNNNNNNNNNNNNNNNNNNNNNNNNNNNNNNNNNNNNNNNNNNNNNNNNNNNNNNNNNNNNNNNNNNNNNNNNNNNNNNNNNNNNNNNNNNNNNNNNNNNNNNNNNNNNNNNNNNNNNNNNNNNNNNNNNNNNNNNNNNNNNNNNNNNNNNNNNNNNNNNNNNNNNNNNNNNNNNNNNNNNNNNNNNAUGGAUGGAUGAGGGGGAGGGAGGAGGGGUUGUCUAGGAGGGGCUGUUGAUGGAGGAGGGGCGGCUAGAGUAGGGAGGAGCAGGGGUUGGAUGAGGGGAGGAGUGGAGGCGGCUAGAGGAGGGAGGACCAGUGGGUGGGAUGAUGGGAGGAGGAGGGAUGAGGAAGAGGAGACGGAGGAGGCUUACCGAGGUCGGGGAUGGCGGCGACGCUGGUAGCAAUGCGGCGAUGGCGGCGGCAAUGCGGCGGCAAUGGCGAUGGUAGGAGUAGGAGGACGGCCGCGAUGGUGAGAGUGAGACAGGGAGACUGAAGAAACGGGCGGGUGCGAGGGCAUAAGGCCUGCUUAGCAGUAGCGCGGGCCGAGGACCGGCGCUACUACUAUCGGGUUAGCAGUAGCGCGGUUUCCGCAGGGGUGCUACUACUAUACCUAGCCUGUUAACAACUGUGUGACAAUUAUAGUAGUAGCGCUUUUAACUGCAGCCGCGCUACUGCUAUGUAGAUAGUAGUAGUGCCCUUGUAUACGAGCACUACUGCUAGUUAGCAGUAGCGCCUCCUUCUAGUACACUUUACUAAUAAGAUUAUGUGUAUAAGGUUUUCCCUAGUAGUGCGCCACUUAUCGCUAGCUAGGAGGUGGACGUGAUCUUUGGAAGGAGUACUUCUCUAUUAGGCCCUUCUCAGUGCUCUACAGUGUACACGUGCUAAGGGUGCCACAUAGACAGAAAAAUGACGUGGCACGCAAUUAAGGAGGAGAGAGAGAGAGAGCAUCAGGCCCUUCCCAAUGCUCCAAGGUAGGCAUGUGCUAAGCAUGUCACAUAAGCAAAAAAAUGACAUGGCACAACAAUUAAGGAGAGACAACACUUUGGUGACACGAGGAAGAACCAAUGUCAAGCGCGUGAACCUAGGCAAACCACUUAAAUGAAAAACGCUGACAAUGCAUGAAAGAGUUUAGGUGCUAAAUCAUUAAAUAAAAUGAGCUUAGAUAGCAACAACAGUUUAAGCACCUAUGCAUUGGGGAGUUGAGUUUGCUAAGCUAUUUAAUGCACUUAGCAUCUCAUGUAAGCAUCUUUGCAUUGGAAGAGGUCAUACUGACCCAUGAAGAACCAAUGCUAAGCACGUGGAUCUAUGCAAAAAGACUACCACCAAUAAUAAAGGAGUUUUGAAACUAAACAAUUAAAUAAAGGAGGCUUAGCUACAAAAGAUAAGUACCAAUGCAUUAAGGACAUUAGUUGCUAAGCAUUUAAUGCACUUAGCACCUCACUUUAGCAUCAAUGCAUUGAAAUAGGUCUUAGGCUGAUCGUAAUGGCGAGUAUCAUAUACUAGCAUCACGCAUAUGAUACUAACAUAUGAUACUACUUCUGUAAUGUAUAGUAUCAUAAGUUAGUAUCUUAGAUUGCCUUAUUAAUUAUCAUGCAUGACACAAAAUAGUACACCAUUUAUUAUGAUACAGUAUCAUAAUAUGAUAUCACAUCAUCUUUUUCCUUACUUAAUUAUAUGUCACAUCACUCAAAAAGUCUAGUUGGCAUGCAUGAUACCGUUUAUGAUACUCCCAUUACAACCCGCCUUACUGAUUUCGUUCUCCCUCGCCUCCUGGCGCUGUGGAGUAGAGAGGAGUGGAUUCUUGUCACUGGUAUGUCCUUUUUGUUAAGAUUUCAUGUCCCAAGCACGUCGUUUUAAUUAUGGUGGCAUUGUUAUUUAUUUUCAGGACAAUAAAAGUGAAUCAUAUCCUAGCCCUCUUUUCUAUCCGUUCAUUGUUGUGAUUGGGGCGUUCUCGGCCGGCGGAUCUGAUGUUUAUUUCGACCUCCAUCGCAGCUGUGGCAAAGUGUCGGGGCGCCGCACAGGUCUCGAUCGAGGCGGGCUAGCCCAUUACAAGCGUGCAUUGCAUCGAUCCUGGUUUUUGGAACCUUCUCAAAAGUUCCAGCCGGUUUUCCCGGUUUUGAGAACCUUCUAGAAGGUUCCUGAACCGGAUUUUUUCUGUUUCAAUUUCGUUUUUUUUUCUGUUUCCUAUUGUUUUGCAUUCUUUUUAGUUUUUCCUUCUUAUUUUCCUUUCCUUUUGCCAUUAUUAUUCUUUUUUUUCACUUUUUCUUUUGUUUUAGCUCCGUUCUCAUUUUAGUUUCAUUCUCAAGUUUAUUUUUUCUUUUUCAACCAAUUUUCAGAAAUUUAAAAAUGUUUCCAUAUUUUAGAUUUUGUACAUAUUUUUAAAAUGUUCCUAUUUUGCAAUUUUUUAACAAAAUUCCAGAAGAAUUAGGAUUUCAAAUAUUUGUUCGCUUCUUAUAAUAAAUGUUCCAAAAAUUUCUAUAUAGAAUUUGAAAUUUUAAAAGUUUCGCGUUUUAGAAAAAAUCAGAAAAUGUUCCCAGUUGCGAAAUUUGUUCACAACUUUAAAAAUGUUCAUGUUUUUUCAAAUUAUAUUUGCAAAUUCAAAAAAUGUUCGGGAAUUUCCAUAAAUGUUCCUACUUUCAAUAUUUGUACACAAAUUUUAGAAAUGUUCAUGUAUUGAAAAUAUAUUUUGCAAAUUCAAAAAAUGGUUGGGAAUUUCAAUAAAUGUUCCCGCUUUCAAAUUUUUCUCAACAGUUUUAAAAAUGUUCAUGUUUUGAAAAUGUUUGGAACCCACUUUCAAAAUUUGUUCAAAAAGUUAGAAAAUAUUCCCGAACAAUUUUUAAAAGUGUACCUACUUUCAAAUUUUGUGCACAAAGAAACAUGAACAUUUGUCGCAAAUUCAAAAAAAUGUUCUAGCUUUCCAAAUUUGUAAAAAAUGUUCAUGUUUUCAAAUUUUGUUCGCAAAUAUGAAAAAUGUUCCUAUUUUGGAAAUUUUGUUCAUAAUUUCGAAAAAUGUGCAUGUUUUAUGGAAAAUGUUUGCAUCUUUUCUGAAAUUGUUCAUAAUUUUAAAGAAUGUAUUGUCUUUUUUUUUAAAUUCCCUUUUCCAUUUCUUUUGAUAUUCCCAAAAAUGUCGCUCGUUCAUAAAAUGUUUGACUGUUCAAAUUUUGUUCGCUAUUUUGAAAGUUCGACUUUCAAAAUAUAUUUACCUUUUAAAAAAAGGAAAUUCACGUUCAAAAUUUCAAUAAAGUUAAAUCUGCUGCUGCUUUUUUUAGGAUAAAUUUGCUGUUGCUUAUAGUUCAUACUGAAGGGGCUGCCAUUUGAGACAUAGAUACGCUAGAGUUACAGUGGCUAGCGACCAUGAUCAGUAGCAGGGGGUGAAUGUUCAACUUUUGGCCACUGUUGUCCAUUUCUUCAUGUGUUGCACUGUCUUUCUAGCACAAGAGCUAUUGUAUCGCAGCGGCUGGCACAACACGCAGAAAACUAGAAAGUCGGGGUUUCGAAUUGCAGCGGCAGCACUCUUAGUUGUUGUCGCUUUUCCAUUUUCCAGCACGCGAACAUCAAAUGGGCCGACCCCGGCGAGCCACCCCUGUGCGAAGUGUCAACUCUUUGACGCAAAGAGCGUCCCAUAGGAUCUCCCGUCCUAAGGGGCUGCUGCUCUGCGAGAAAACAUGAAGGACUAUAGUAAACUAGGCCUUUUCCCAGCCCAUUUAGUAACAGACCGACAGUCCACAAGUAGUCAAGAGUUUCUCCAUCGACAGAAGAAAUAGACGCAGCGAGGGUAAGCCGAUAGGUUGCUACGCGGGUUCUGCUCGACCACGGCGAUACCUCGCUUCUAGCGAGACCGAGGAAAGCCUCACAUCAAGCAGAGCGCGAGAUGGGCCGGCCCAGGCGCACAGGUGACCACAACCUCGUUUAUAUUUCUUUUUAACUUAAAUUUAUACUUCCAAAUAUUAUAAAUAAAUACAAAAUAAAUUUACAUGAAACAUUUAAAAAAUGUUAACCAAGCAUUUAAAAAAUGUUAAAUGUGUAUAGAACAAAUGUUUCUCAUGCAUCUUAAAAAUAAUCAAUAUGUGUGAAAAAAAUUAAACAUGUAUUGAAGAAAUGUUAAUCCAAGAAUUUGAAUAACUAUAAAUAAGUAUUGAAUUUUUUUAAUAAAGCAUUUAAAAAACGUGGACAAUGUAUUAAAAAAUUGUUAAACCUGUAAUUGAAAAAUGUUAAAUACGUAUAGAGUAAAUGUUUCUCCUGCAUACAAAAAAUAAUCUAUGUGUGUGAAAAAGUUGAACCUGUAUUUAAGAAAUGUUAAUCCAAGAAUUUGAAAAAAAAUGUUAAUAGGUAUUUCAAAAAUGUUAGUCAAGCAUUUAAAAAAUAUAUACCAUGUAUCAAAAAAUUGUUAAUUGAAAAAUGUUAACCAAGCAUUUGAAAAAUAUUCAAUGUGUAUAGAAAAACUGUUGAUGAUGUAUGAAAAAAAUGCUAUUCUUGUAUUUGGAACAUGUUAAUCAAGAAAUUGAAAAAUGUUAAAUAUGUAUAGAAAGUUGACCAUGUAUUCAAAAAAUGUUGAUUUUGUAUUUGACAAGUGACAAGUUGUAUUAAAUGUAUUAGCUAUAUACCAAACGAUGUGUAUGAAAAAAUAGUGAAAAACGAGAAGAAACAAAGCAAACUGAUGAAAACGAGAGAGAAACACACAAAACUGAAGAAACUAGAAAGGAAAGAAAAAAAAAGUGAAAACUGAGAAAGUAACAAAGGAAACCAAAAAAAAA
rnacentral:lncRNA from 1 species